rnacentral:lncRNA from 1 species
UGUUUAUUGUGCACAAGAACCUACCUAGAAACCCAUCCAGGACCCCAUCACCCACAGAAACAGCCUGAGGCAGACAGAAAAUACGCAGCCUUAUUGAUCCUAACUCAGCCUUCUAAAACAUGGAGCAUUUUGAGGAUCCAAACAAAGAUUGCUGAGUUUCAUCCAGGGCAGAAAUAAGAAGAAAAGGUGAAGAAGUCCAAAAGAAGUGCUCAAGGAGAAAAGGGUGCUUUGGAGGAAAAAGAGAAGAUAUGUCCCACAAGCAGAAUGGGACCACUGCAAGAACAAGAGGUCAGUGACCCAAAGUCAGCUGCUGCUGUCUCCUUAUAUGUUCUUUGACAGUGGUGGUCCCACUUGAUUUUGUGCUAGAAGAUUGGUUCAUCUUGUUCUUGAGCCAGAAGAUUGAUGUCAGGUGCCAG